GCCCGCUUGGCUAAGUGGUAUAGCGUGUCACUAGUAGACAAGUUCGUGAAGGACCUCCACACUAGAUGCCAUGACAAGAUCAGCGGUUCGAUUCCGCUAGUGGGCA